rnacentral:rRNA from 1 species
UACGGAGGGGGCUAGCGUUGUUCGGAAUUACUGGGCGUAAAGCGCACGUAGCGGCUUUUUAAGUCCGCCGUCAAAUCCCAGGGCUCAACCCUGGACAGGCGGUGGAAACUACCAAGCUGGAGUACGGUAGGGGCAGGAGGGAAUUUCCGGUGGAGCGGUGAAAAUGCGUAGAGAUCGGAAAAGAACACCAACGGCGAAAAGCACUCUGC